rnacentral:rRNA from 1 species
CACGUAGGGGGCGAGCGUUGUCCGGAUUUAUUGGGCGUAAAGAGCUCGUAGGCGGUUUCGUAAGUCGGAUGGGAAAACUCCAGGCUCAACUUGGAGACGCCAUUCGAUACUGCGAUGACUUGAGUCCGGUAGGGGAGUGUGGAAUUCCUGGUGUAGCGGUGAAAUGCGCAGAUAUCAGGAGGAACACCGGUGGCGAAGGCGGGUCUCUGGGCCGAUACUGACGCUGAGGAGCGAAGGCGUGGGGAGCGAACAGG